GGGGCUGUGGCGAAAUUGGUAGACACCCCCGACUGUCAUUCGGGUUUGCUGGUGCUAACCCACCGGCUUGCGGGUUCGAAUCCCGCCAGCCCUACCA
rnacentral:tRNA from 1 species